CUCAGCCUCCCAAAGUGCUGGGAUUACAGGCAUGAGCCACUGUACCCGGCCAAGCUCUUUUAAUUAAGAGACAGUCUUACCUCAUUCUGUCACCCAGGCUGGAAUGACUUUCUAAAAUUACAGAAAGCAGAACAUACUUCUUGCUGUUUAUAGUAUUGUAGUCAUACCAAAGGGGAAGAGUGUUUCUCCUUAAAUAAAAUUACAAAUAAAAAAAUCUGUUUUACUCUUACUCAUAAAAGUUAUUCUAGAAUACGAAAGGUUAGUUUUUCAAACUGGUUUUGUCUCUGGCUUUUAUUAGCCACACUUCACAAGAAGAAAUGCAUUUAAGAAUUAACUUAGUCAAAAGGUAUAACGUUGGUAUACUACUGCAGUAUAUACCAACUACUGUUAGUAACUACUGCAGAUGAUGUUUUGUCCCUCCCCUUUGUCCAGUAAUGUCCAAAUGGUCAACAGUUUAAACAUUUAGGCUUGCACUGAGAAACCUUGCCACAUUUCAGCAGUUUUGUUUUGCUUUUGGUGGAGAGCACCUGAUCUCGACUUUAUAGCCAAUGUAUUUACUCUGAAUUACACUUUUAUAGAUAAAAGGUAAAGUGUAGCUGGGUGGUCUCAGGAGCCAUAAAAUGUGGUCAACCACAACAAAUGAAAAUAUAAGCUAAACAACAUAUUCACACUUUCAUUUUUUUAAUAAGGAAUUUAAGAUCCACAGUAUCUUAAAGUUUAAUGCUUGGAAGAGACACAAAUUCGAGGUGAUAAAAAUAUUGACUAGAAGACACAUAACAUGCCUCAUGAACACCUGACUUCACACACAAGGUAUAACCAUGAAAGCAACACUAUUUUGGGCUCCCAAAAUCAAAAGUAAGAUUAGAACUAAUAUAUUUACUCUAUUACAGAUAUUUAGUAUACUCAAUACAAUAAUGCACUAACAAUUUCUUUAAAAAAACACUAAUAUUGUACAAUGUUGCUGUGUUUCACAUUAUUUUUUUUUCCACAGCUGUUGAAAGUUUCAGCCUCGGUUUGAACCAUGACCUGCAUGACAAGCUAUACAUUGUCAAUAGUUCUGUUUCUUUGGAAAAGUACAGUUGUGGCAUUUACUCAUUUUAGCAGAUAGCUAAAAGGGAAAAAUAAGGAAAACUAUACACUGGACCUGCAGUUAAGUUUUUGACAAUGCCAAGGAUCAAAAACAGAUGAACAACAUUUGUUGAAGAUGAAAAGGUAUUGCAUUGGUCUUAAUAGAGAUACCGUCAUCUCUGGGUAAGGAUGCUGACUGAGCCUAUUCUGUUUCUUCACCUCUGGGUGUUUUCUCUUCUACAACAGACUUCCAAGAGAAAAGAUCAUGUAGUCAGCCACACUAGGUCCAUUUGACCUUUCUCAUUCUCUGGUCUCUUCUCUGUGACUUUUGACAAAAAUACUCAGUUCACAAUAUUAGCUGCCUGCUUCUGAUGGGUAGGAGUUUUAUAAUCAAAAUACUCCCACCAAAGCACUCUAUGGUCUAGACUUGAUAAUUUAGUUUUCGGCAUUUCUCAACAAGGAUACCUUGAGGUAAUAGGAGAUAUUUUCGUAAGUGAAAAUAAUUCCUGCUUGGAACACAGCUUACUGAACUCAGGAUUUCAUUUCUUUGAGUAUUAGGCAGUUCUCAAUAAACUGAUGUAUAUUGAGGAAUAAUUCUAAAGAGGUUAAUGAUAUCCUGUUUAGGAACAGAUUUAGAAAACUGAAGGUACUCUCCAGCUCUACAAUUCUGUAUUAGGAACAACUGGGAAAUGAGGAAGUGCCUCUAUACUGCAAUCUAGUGAGUCUCUGGGGGAAGACUGUCUACCUGCAUAGUGGUUGAGAAAUAAGACAAGCUCACAAGCACAUGAAAAUCAGCUUGAAAUAACAUCAAAUUCAGCCUCGGCAAUAUAGUGAGACCCCAUAUCUACAAAAAA